CAAUAGCGUAUAUUAAAGUUGUUGCAGUUAAAAAGCUCGUAGUUGGAUCUCGGGUCCAGGCUUGUGGUGCAGCUUAGGCUGCUUACUGCUCGUCCUGACCUACCUGCCGGUUUUCCCUUGGUGCUCUUAAGUGAGUGUCUUGGGUGGCCGGAACGUUUACUUUGAAAAAAUUAGAGUGCUCAAAGCAGGCUUUUGCCUGAAUAUUAGUGCAUGGAAUAAUUGAAUAGGACCUCGGUUCUAUUUUUGUUGGUUUUCGGAACUCGAGGUAAUGGAUUAAGAGGGACAGGACGGGGGCAGUUCGAUUACGGUGUUAGAGGUGAAAUUCUUGGAAUCGCCGUAAGUACGAAACUACUGCGAAAGCAAUUUGCCUAAGGAUGUUUUCAUUU
rnacentral:rRNA from 1 species